AGAGUUUGAUCAUGGCUCAGGAUGAACGCUAGCGACAGGCCUAACACAUGCAAGUCGAGGGGCAGCGGAGAGGUAGCAAUACCUUUGCCAGCGACCGGCGCACGGGUGAGUAACACGUAUGCAAUCCACCUGUAACAGGGGGAUAACCCGGAGAAAUCCGGACUAAUACCCCAUAAUAUGGGCGCUCCGCAUGGAGAGCCCAUUAAGGAGAGCAAUUUUGGUUACAGACGAGCAUGCGCU
rnacentral:rRNA from 1 species